rnacentral:rRNA from 1 species
AGAGUUUGAUCAUGGCUCAGGAUGAACGCUGGCGGUAUGCCUAACACAUGCAAGUCGAACGAUGUCUUCGGACAUAGUGGCGGACGGGUGAGUAACGCGUGAGAAUCUGCCUCUAGGAUGGGGAUAACGGUUGGAAACGACCGCUAACACCCAAUAUGCCGUAAGGUGAAAAAUUUAUUGCCUGGAGAGGAGCUCGCGUCUGAUUAGCUAGUUGGUGGGGUAAGAGCUCACCAAGGCUUCGAUCAGUAGCUGGUCUGAGAGGAUGAGCAGCCACACUGGGACUGAGACACGGCCCAGACUCCUACGGGAGGCAGCAGUGGGGAAUUUUCCGCAAUGGGCGAAAGCCUGACGGAGCAAUACCGCGUGAGGGAGGAAUGCCUUUGGGUUGUAAACCUCUUUUCUCAGGGAAGAAGAUCUGACGGUACCUGAGGAAUAAGUAUCGGCUAACUCCGUGCCAGCAGCCGCGGUAAUACGGAGGAUGCAAGCGUUAUCCGGAAUCAUUGGGCGUAAAGCGUCCGCAGGUGGUUUCCAAAGUCUGCUGUUAAAGACUGGAGCUCAACUCCGGAACGGCGGUGGAAACUUGGAAACUAGAGUUCGGUAGGGGUAGCAGGAAUUCCCAGUGUAGCGGUGAAAUGCGUAGAUAUUGGGAAGAACAUCGGUGGCGAAGGCGUGCUACUGGACCGUAACUGACACUCAGGGACGAAAGCUAGGGGAGCGAAAGGGAUUAGAUACCCCUGUAGUCCUAGCUGUAAACGAUGGAAACUAGGUGUGGCUUGUAUCGACCCGAGCCGUGCCGUAGCUAACGCGUUAAGUUUCCCGCCUGGGGAGUACGCACGCAAGUGUGAAACUCAAAGGAAUUGACGGGGGCCCGC